GACGAACGCUGGCGGCGUGCUUAACACAUGCAAGUCGAACGGUAAGGCCCUUCGGGGUACACGAGUGGCGGACGGGUGAGUAACACGUGGGUGAUCUGCCCUGCACUUCGGGAUAAGCCUGGGAAACUGGGUCUAAUACCGGAUAGGACUCCGGACUGCAUGGUCUGGGGUGGAAAGCUUUUGCGGUGUGGGAUGGGCCCGCGGCCUAUCAGCUUGUUGGUGGGGUGAUGGCCUACCAAGGCGACGACGGGUAGCAGGCCUGAGAGGGUGGCCGGCCACACUGGGACUGAGAUACGGCCCAGACUCCUACGGGAGGCAGCAGUGGGGAAUAUUGCACAAUGGGCGCAAGCCUGAUGCAGCGACGCCGCGUGAGGGAUGACGGCCUUCGGGUUGUAAACCUCUUUCAGCAGGGACGAAGCGAAAGUGACGGUACCUGCAGAAGAAGCACCGGCCAACUACGUGCCAGCCGCCGCGGUAA
rnacentral:rRNA from 1 species